UCUUAGUAUCUGUGUGACUGCACUUCUCUGAGCCUCCCUUUCCACAUCUGUGCAGUGGGGCUGUGGGGAGGGCUCAAGGAAGCACUGGGGGUCGGAGGUCAGC